rnacentral:snRNA from 1 species
GUGCUCGCUUCGGCAGCACAUAUACUAAAAUUGGAAUGAUACAGAGAAGAUUAGCAUGGCCCCUGCGCAAGAAUGACAAAUAAAUCAGUAAUUAUAUUAAAUGUCA